GAAAUAUGAGGCCCAAGAAAAAGCUGCUAACUUUUUUCUUUAAUGGUUGAACUCCAUUUAUAUUUCU
rnacentral:tRNA from 1 species